GUUGUGUGUUAGUGAAUGUGUUUUUGUUUGUGGUAUCCCUCCUUCUCAGAUAAAACCCAAUCAGAGAUGAAGCUUCUGACAGCCGCCCUCGUCAUCGUUCUUCUGUCUACAACAGCCUCCACAAAGCCGAUUUGUUCGCGUCGGCAUCACGAUGCUGACAUCGCUGACAAUGACUUGAUACAGCGCCGGCUGGAAGGGAAUACCAGGCGGUAUCGGGGGUCUAGUGACUCUUCAUCAGACUCUCCUCGGAAGAGUCCUCAGAGGAAGUCAAGGAUCCGACCACUACAGCCGUGACCACCACUGCAAUGACAACCGGUACUACAGUAGAAGGGAGUACGCCCAUCCCUGGGGGGAAAACGCCCCCACCAGCGACACCAACCACACCUAUUGUUGCCACGUCAACUGGCGAUGUGACUGAUUGUGUUACCGUAGAUGUUUCAACACCAGCUCCCAUCACAGAAAACAGAGGAGACAACUAAACAACAUGGCCAUUUAAAAUGGGUAGUU